rnacentral:sRNA from 1 species
GACUCUUGUGAAAGGAACCCAGGGUGAAGCUUUCUGUAAAGGGAAAAGCUGUUUCAGGAGAAAGCCCUCUCCUCCUUUUCA